AUGGGGGGCUCACUGCGGAAACCAUCAUAUGCAUGCCCUCCGGUCACUCCAGGAAAAACAGUUUCACAUCAACCACCUGGAGAUUCUAGCAAUCAUGAAGGCUCUCAAAGCUUUCUUCUCCCUAGUACAUGGUCGUGGUGUUCAAAUAGUCACAGACAACACUACAGCCAUGUACUACAUCAACAAACAAGGGGGCACACAUUCUCACUCUCUUCUGUUCCUGACGGUGAUGCUUUGGGAGUGGUGCUACCGUCAUCAUAUUUUUCCGGUAGCAGUUCACGUGUCGACGGAGGACAAUGCCCUAGCCGACGAACUCAGUCAGCGCAAGAGCCAAAUGCACGAAUUGGAACUGGAUGCCUUGGUCUUUCACGACCUGUGUCACCGUUGGGGCACACUUGUCAUAGAUGUUUUUGCCACUCAACAGAAUGCGAAAUGACCACGCUAUGCGUCCAGGGCAGGACGAGGAGAAGGAUCAAUGGGGGACGCCUUUAUGAUAUCAUGAAAAGUGGGCCUACUCUACCCAUUUCCUCUGGUACAGAAGACACUAGUGAAGCUCCAUCAGGAGUCUCCAGAGGCGAUUCUAGUGGCACCCUUCUGGCCUCAUCAGCCGUGGUUCCCAACCUUAGUGUCAAUGGCAACAGAUCAUGUGAGACUUCCGCGUUCUCCCGAUCUACUCACACAGGAUUCAGGCAGAAUUUUCCACCCAGAUCUGAACACGAUUCACCUCACUGCAUGGAAAAUAUCCCCGAGAUCAAGGAAAUCAUAGACAAGUCCAAGAAGACUUCAACCUCCUUGUUAUAUAGUUACAAAUGGAAAAGUUUCCUUAAGUUCACAGAAUCCAGAGGCCUUUCUUCUUCUCUGGUCUCUCUUUCCACAUUGUUGCAGUUCUUGCAUUACCUGUUCGAUUUUCAAUUAUCGAUCUCCACUCUGAAAGUCUACAUUGCGGCCAUCGUCUCCUUCCAACCUCGAGAUUCUCCUGCUUCCUGCUUGUUUUCUCACCCUACGAUUAAAGCCUUCCUCAAAGGACUCACCCAUUUGAGACCCCCGGUUAAACCACCCGUACCACAAUGGUCGCUUCAUUUGGUGCUACACUCACUAAUGAGCCCACCCUUUGAACUGCUUGCUUCCUGUGAUCUAAAGAUGUCCCUCAAGGUGUUAUUUUGGUGGCUAUCACAUCUGCUCGCAGAGCUGGAGAGCUUGCUGCCCUUCGAGCCGAUCAACCUUUCUUACAGUUUUUUCACAACAAAGUGGUACUGCAUACUGAUGUCUCGUUUCUCCCAAUUUCACUUAAACCAACCUCUCAUACUGCCUACUUUGUUUUCAAAACCUGCCAAUGACACGGAGCACAUGCUCCACUCUUUGGAUGUUAGGAGAGCACUUUCCUUUUAUGUUUCACAGACUAAGGACUUUAGAUUGUCUCCUAAACUUUUUCUGUGUUACAGUGGUGCCUCGCUUAACAAGCACACCGUUUAA
rnacentral:lncRNA from 1 species